rnacentral:rRNA from 1 species
UUCGCAAUGCCCGAAAGGGUGACGAAGCGACGCCGCGUGCGGGAAGAAGGCCUUCGGGUUGUAAACCGCUGUCGGGAGUUAAGAAAUGCAAGGGUGUUAACAGCAUCCUUGCUUGACUAAGGCUCCGGAGGAAGCCACGGCUAACUCUGUGCCAGCAGCCGCGGUAAUACAGAGGCGGCAAGCGUUGUUCGGAAUUAUUGGGCGUAAAGAGCACGUAGGCGGCCGUGUAAGUCGGCUGUGAAAGCCUUCCGCUCAACGGGAGAACGGCAUCCGAUACUGCAUGGCUUGAGUGCGGGAGGGGAGAGUGGAACUUCUGGUGGAGCGGUGAAGUGCGUAGAUAUCAGAAGGAACGCCGGCGGCGAAAGCGGCUCUCUGGCCCGUAACUGACGCUGAGUGUGCGAAAGCUAGGGGAGCAAACGGGAUUAGAUACCCCGGUAGUCCUAGCCGUAAACGAUGGGCACUAAGUAGAGGGGUUUU